rnacentral:rRNA from 1 species
UACGGAGGGUGCAAGCGUUAUCCGGAUUCACUGGGUUUAAAGGGUGCGUAGGCGGGCAGGUAAGUCCGUGGUGAAAUCCCCGGGCUUAACCUGGGAACUGCAGUCGAGACUGUCUAGCUAGAGUAUGGGAGAGGGAAGUAGAAUUUCAGGUGUAGCGGUGAAAUGCGUAGAUAUCUGAAGGAACAUCAGUGGCGAAAGCGACUUCCUGGACCAAUACUGACGCUCAUGUGCGAAAGCGUGGGGAGCAAACAGG